rnacentral:rRNA from 1 species
CUAUUAUUUAAAAGUAAAUUUAUGCUAAUAAUUAAAUGUAAAUCAUUAAAAUUAAAAAAUAUGGCGGUUUAAUAGGCUGGUUAGGGAAAUUUGUGUAUUAAUUUGAUGGUCCACGAUAAGAUCUACUUAAUAAAAAAUUCUUAUGUAUUGUUGUUUAAAAUUAAUAUUAAAACCUUUAUUAAUUUAAUUUUAAAUAUUUAAAUAAUUAUUUAAAUAAUAAAAUAUUUAAAAUGAAUUCAAAUCAUAAUGUAGUUUUAUUAAGAUUUCAUGAAUUAUAAUAAUUUAAAAAUUUUGGAUAAUUAAUUUUAAUAUUAAUUUGAAAGAGGAUUUAAAAGUAAAUUUUAAUAAUUAUUAAAAUUGAAUUAAGUAUUAUUAAGUGUACAGAUAGCCCGUCAAUUCCAUUUAAAUAUGGAA